ensembl:lncRNA
CGAGAAUGGCGGUUCUACCAGACAGGAUGUAUCAAUAUAUUUGGUUGUCAAACGGUAACAAUAAUCAGAACUAAAUAGUUCAGUUUUAUCCUGAAUUUUUAUCAUUGCAGCCUGUAUAGUUCUAACACAAUUUGAAUCUAACAUGAAGAACGAUGACAUGUAACCAAUGACAAAGUUAAGAGGCGUGACUUGCUGGAGGCGCCCCGGCUGCGAUGUGAAGACAGUAAUUAAACACUGCAGCAUCCACAAAAGUCAGCUGUUGUUUCAAGCGUGGAGUAUAUCGUUUCGGUUGUAAGUACAAGUUAUUUUAUUUGAAGUAAUUUAUUUGAAUUGUGAUGCAAAUACAAACGAGACAUUUUAACUUUUUAAGAAUGUGUAAAUCAAUUUUACGAUUGCGCAAUCCAUUCAUUUUUAGCUGUCUUUCAUAUUGCCUGUUUAAAUCUCUGGUUUAGGUUGAGCAGAAUUAAACACAGACCGUGUUUGGUAAACACAUUUUUGGACCUCCAAAUCUUGUCCAAGUGACCAGCAUCUGCGUCAGUUGGACUAGUCGGUCAGACUGUGAUCUUACACAACCUGAGCAGAUACUUUUAUGUAUUGAGGACAGCCGGUUGAUGAUACAAAGUACAUUACCACAAUGGGUUCAGUUACAGACACCCUUCCUUGUGGCUGCCCAGCGUGAGGGGAUUUUUGUUUUGUUUUCUUUCAGGCUUGAAAGCUGAAGUGUUGACUUCAACAAUUUUGGGGGCUCGGUCCGGGAUUGGAAAAAGGAGAAGGAAUUCGACCUGGUCCAGACAACCUACACGAGAUUCACAGGUUCCGAGCCGGCUCAUGAUAAAGGUAAGCAGAGCCUGUUAUAUCUAAAUCUGCAUAUUGGCUGUGAACUAAAUUGUGAACCUGUGGAGAAUGUAGUGGUACUGGUAUAAAUUCAGGAGGGCGAGGCAAUUGGUAUUUGUUCUCGGGUUGACUACCCCAGACCACUUCCCAACGGGGAAGGUGGAGAUUGUAAGCAGGAGACUUAACGAUCAGUCAGGUGAACGGCCCGAGGAGAUAGGGACACCUCGAACAUAACGG